UCAACCAAAUCAGCCUAUAAUACAGCUUUUUACGCGUGCAGAUUUCUGAUAGUGACCAUCGUCCAUCAUCCCAUCAUCCCAUUUCUCACUCUUUCAAAACACAGCGAUAGCCACAAACGAUUUUCUUUCUCCUCUUCUCUCCUCUCUACCACGCUCCCAAAGACCGAACCCUAGGAGACAACUUCCAACCACUCCCCUCUGCGCAACCAUCUCCUGCACCCCAAAAAUCCGUGCAACAGUGGAGGUCAGCACGAUUUUGGGGAUAGGGAUGCAAACUUUUCAAACCUUAUCACGAUUUUGCCUUUUUCUUCAGUUUUAGUUUCAAAUCCGGAGGUUCAAGUCCGGAUUUGACCUAUAAAUAGGGUGUUCUUCAACCCUAGAAGAGGAACAAGAAACGGGAAGGGAAAAUUGGGGAGAAAAAGGAAAAAAAGUGGGUGAUCGAGAACGAGGAAGAGAGAAAGAGGCGAGAAAUUGUCUCCGUUCAAAUUUUGGAGUGUGAAUCUGGUGGCUGGGAUCCUUGACAGAAGGCUCUAGUUUACUGCACAAAACAAGAUCUUUUAUUUUGAUUUAGCAAUGGUGGAUAAUACUUUUAUGAAGGGUUACUAGAAGUAUAUAACGUAGUGACCCUGAUGUACAUACGGUUCCAACGUUUGACUUAGGAAUUUCUCAAUCUGAAGAAGAAGAUGCAUCGCCUUCGGAAGAAGUUAGAGGUAUUGAGCAUAAAAGAAAAGUUAAAGAUGUUCCGAGUACGUACAAUGAUGAUGAUGAGUUGGUGAAAGAAGUAUUUUGUUUUUCAAAUUUUUACUUUGUUUUUCAGUCUCUUACUUUGUACUGAAUGACACCGAUUUUGGCUUUUGAGAUAAAUUAUGACUUAACUCUUUUAGACUGGGUUGGGUAGUAAAUGAUGAUAUAAAAUGCGUGUUAAGGGUGA